UGUCCAAAAGGAAGAAGAGAAUAAAGUUUUUUGUUUUCUUGGGAAAAAAAUGAAUAUUAAUAUCAAAUACAUUAGGAUUUGAAUUAAAAUUAUUCGAAUAACUGUAAUGAAACUUACUCUUUUUUUUUAUCGGAGAACGGACAUGGUUCGACGUGGGAGAACUCAAGAGUCAAACUUUACAUUGCUUUUCGGGUUCUUCUCCAUUU